ACGGGUCAGAUGGGUUGACUCGGGUCAACCCAAAAAAAUCUAUUAUUUAUGGGUAUAGUUUAAUUUUCUCUCAAUUUGUUGUUAACAUAAACAAAAAUAGUGCAAGAAACAGAACCUAGAUUCAAGCAAAACGCUGGCAAGAAACAGAAAAGGUGUUAAGCUCAGCAUAGAAAGAAUAGAAAGAAAAGAGAACAGCAAUUGAGAAAGAACAGAACAAGAGAGAGCAGAGGAGAAUGAGCAGAGAAUUGAGAAGAGAAAGGAGAACAGAGGGCCUUCAUCAUGUCUCCUGGUUCGUAACAAAAGGAUUGACAUAGAACUUACAUCCAUGAAGAGAAACGAAACCAGUGAAUACAAAAAGGAAAACUCAUUUUAAACAGGUAUGGAUCAACAUCCAAUAAUAUGGUAGAUCAUCUUCUUAAUUUUCAAAUACAAAAAGAAAAACAUGAAUUACCCAUGUAAUUAAAUACAACAAAUUAAAAACCAGAAAACCCAGAAAUCAGAAAAACCAAAAAGCCACAAUGGAGAAAAAAUUGGUAAAGAAGAAAAGGAUAUAUAGUUUACCUACAAAACGCGGUUCUCCAAGUGUAUAGUUACUGGUUUGCUUCAUCAAUCAGUAAAGAACAAAAAUUUGAGAGAGAAAAAAACUGAAGAGAAACAACAAAAGUUAGUUUGUUAAGGGCCUUUUCUUGUUAUUAUAACCAAAAGAGAGACGGGAACUUACCAGCUAUGGCUUGCCUUGAAGUUUUUUGUGGGUGGAGAUUCAUCUGCAACUGAUAUAGCUUGAACUUUGAAGAGAUUAGGUUUAUGUGAAUUGUGAAUUUGUGAUUCUGUCUUCACUUUGUAAUGCAAAUGGUUUGAUAAUUAGACAGUGAAAAGAUAAAACGAUGACGUUUUAUUUUUA